rnacentral:tmRNA from 1 species
GGGGAUGAAAGGAUUUCGACAGGGUUGUUGAGCCUUGGUCAGCGAGUAGCGGAGUUGCACCGCUUUAAAAGUAACACUUUAAAAUUAACUGACAAUAAUAAAUCAGUAGCUCUUGCUGCUUAAUUAGCGGCUUGCGUUCUCUUACAGAGUGCCACGGCUGUAUGCAGAGCGUCGACUUAGUGGCGAACAUGAAUGAAGGAUUAUCGCGGCCUUCAUCAGGUAACAGCGGUUACCGUAAGCUAAAGGCUGUUUGCCGCCGUUAGCUGAGGGGAUUACCUAAAAGACAAACUACACUCGUAGAGCCCUUGGUAAGAUGAUUUUGGACGUGGUUUCGAUUACCACCAUCUCCACCA